GGAGAGGUGGCUGAGCGGUCGAAAGCGCUCCCCUGCUAAGGGAGUAUACCCCCCAACGGGGUAUCGAGGGUUCGAAUCCCUCCCUCUCCG
rfam:Aliifodinibius roseus strain DSM 21986 genome assembly, contig: Ga0134108_110